rnacentral:lncRNA from 1 species
CUUCACGGUUAAUAAUGCCAACUGUAUUGGCCGUUGCGGUUUUACUGUUGACAUAUUGGUGUGAAAAAACAUGCAAGCACAAUUCCAUGAUUCCGGCCUUAGUUCCUGCAAUACGAAAGACUCUGCUGAAGAUAUUCUCGUGUUUACGACUGAAGUCAUUUUGCUGAACAGUACCAUGUGAAUUAUGUUGCCAUUUAUAGUUAGUAUCUCGUACCUCUGGUUUAUUUGGCAUUGAGAGCUAAAGUAUGAUGUGGAAAAUUGCAUACAUAGUAUGCGCCAUGAUGGUGAUGGCACCAAUCAUCAAAGUCAAACCUAACAGCAGAGAAGGAGUGAAGAAAGUGCCCAUAGCAGCCCUGUCAGAAUUUAGAAGCGAUGAAAUAAGUAAGCAUAGGAGCAUAAAGAAGCAAGCACAUUAAUUUUCCAACCAAAAAUCUUGUAAAUUGGCAUGGCCAGAAGCUACCAACAUUGCAGAAUCGAUACUUGGUUACGUCUGCGGUCGCAAAUGUCCAUUAUUCAUAAGGUCUGCUUCCAGUCCUGAAAGAAGAUACCACCUUAAGUUUUCCAGACACUACAAAUUGAGAUUCCUUCAAAAAGUUGAAAUUUAAAAAUGAAAGAGAUAUUCACCUCUAGGUCCAUAUGUUGUCACCUUAGUCUUCCAAUUUAGCAUGUAGCCGCUCUAUUCAAAUUCCAAAAAUAACCGCACUGUAGUCUGUGACUGAACAAAAGCAACAAAGCCCGUCGAAGAAAUUUACAGUCCCUGUGAGAUAAUGGCAAG